GGCCUAUUAGCUCAGUUGGUUAGAGUGUUGUGCUAAUAACGCAAAGAUCGUAGGUUUGAAACAUGCAUGGGCCA